GACGAACGCUGGCGGCGUGCUUAACACAUGCAAGUCGAACGGUGAAGCGCCUUCCUUUUUGGUGGGUGUGGAUGAGUGGCGAACGGGUGAGUAACACGUGAGUAACCUGCCCCCUUCUUCUGGAUAACCGCAUGAAAGUGUGGCUAAUACGGGAUAUUCUGGGUCUGUCGCAUGAUGGGUCUGGGAAAGAUAUUGUUUCGGUGGGGGAUGGGCUCGCGGCCUAUCAGCUUGUUGGUGGGGUGAUGGCCUACCAAGGCGGUGACGGGUAGCCGGCCUGAGAGGGUGGACGGUCACACUGGGACUGAGAGACGGACCAGACUCCUACGGGAGGCAGCAGUGGGGAAUAUUGCACAAUGGGCGCAAGCCUGAUGCAGCGACGCCGCGUGAGGGAUGGAGGCCUUCGGGUUGUGAACCUCUUUCGCCAGUGAAGCAGGCCUGCCUCGUUUGUGGGUGGGUUGACGGUAGCUGGAGAAGAAGCGCCGGCUAACUACGUG
rnacentral:rRNA from 1 species